UCGAACGCGAAAGGGUCCUUCGGGAUCUGAGUAGAGUGGCGUCCGGGUGAGUAACGCGUAGAUCAUCUACCUUCGGGUGGGGAAUAACUCAGGGAAACUUGAGCUAAUACCGCAUAGCAUCGAAAGAUCAAAGCAGGGGAUCGCAAGACCUUGCGCCUGAAGAGGAGUCUGCGUCUGAUUAGCUAGUUGGUAAGGUAAUGGCUUACCAAGGCUUCGAUCAGUAGCUGGUCUGAGAGGACGGCCAGCCACAUUGGCACUGAAACACGGGCCAAACUCCUACGGGAGGCAGCAGUGGGGAAUUUUGGGCAAUGGGCGAAAGCCUGACCCAGCAAUGCCGCGUGAACGAUGAAGUCCUUCGGGAUGUAAAGUUCGGAAGUAAGGAACGAAAAGCUGAGGGAUAAUACCCUUUAGUGCUGACGGUACCUUAUCUAAGCCCCGGCUAACUACGUGCCAGCAGCCGCGGUAAUACGUAGGGGGCAAGCGUUGUUCGGAAUUACUGGGCGUAAAGCGCGAUUAGGCGGUUUGAAAAGUCAGAUGUGAAAGCCCCGGGCUCAACUUGGGAACUGCAUUUGAUACUGUCAGACUAGAGUACAGAAGAGGUGACUGGAAUUCCCAGUGUAGCGGUGAAAUGCGUAGAUAUUGGGAGGAACACCAGAUGCGAAGGCGGGUCACUGGGCUGAUACUGACGCUGAUAUUGCGAAAGCCAGGGGAGCGAACGGGAUUAGAUACCCCGGUAGUCC
rnacentral:rRNA from 1 species